rnacentral:lncRNA from 1 species
UCCCAUUUUUCCUUCCGCUCCUGAGGCUUUAGUGACAUGUCCUUCUCCAGCGCUUCCAGCGUGUUGAAGCUGGCUAUGGCAAAGCCAUCGAUCAGGUCCUCUUCCUGGGAGCUGGACUCGCGGCGGCGGCGACGCGGGGGCCGCGCGGUGCGGGCGGCGGGCGGGGGGCCGCGCGGGGCCGUGCAGUUCUGGGCGCCGUUCUCCUUGCCGGGGCUCGGCUCCUUCUCGGAGCCCGACGAGGGGCUCUGGUUGCGGGGGUCGCGGGCCGCCGCCUCCCGCCGCCGCACGCGGUCCCGCUGCGACCUCGACCUCCGGCUCUGCCGGAUUUUCCCAUCCAUUUCCGAAGAGGAGGCAAAGCAAAAAUAAAAUAAUAAAAAUAUACUUAAAAAAAAAAAAAAGGAAAAAUAAAAGAGGAGAAGGCCAGG